CUUAAGAUUUUGGUUGUCUUUUAUUUAAAGGAGACAAAAAAGAACAAUGGGGUUCCUGCUAGUCGGUCACAGGUGUGGAUGGCCGUAUACAUGAAAGAUGGGACGUCAAAUAGUGAUUCAGUUAAUGAGGUUAUGACUCAAAUGAAUGAGUUAACAGAGCACAUGGAGGGAUC